AAAAUUAGAGUGUUCAAAGCAGGCAGAUCCAAUUUUCUGCCACCGAAUACAUUAGCAUGGGAUAAUGGAAUAGGACCCUGUCCUCCUAUUUUCAGUUGGUUUUGGCAGCGCGAGGACUAGGGUAAUGAUUAAUAGGGAUAGUUGGGGGCAUUAAUAUUUAAUUGUCAGAGGUGAAAUUCUUGGAUUUAUGAAAGAUUAACUUCUGCGAAAGCAUCUGCCAAGGAUGUUUUCAUUAAUCAAGAACGAAAGUUAGGGGAUCGAAGACGAUCAGAUACCGUCGUAGUCUUAACCAUAAACGAUGCCGACCAGCGAUUAGGAGACGUUGAAUACAAAACACCACCAUCGGCGCGGUCGUCCUUGGCGUCUCUGUCCCUUUCAACGGGGGCAUAGGCGCGAGGGCGGUUUAGCCCGGUGGCACCGGUGAA
rnacentral:rRNA from 1 species